ACAAACUUGGUCAUUUAGAGGAAGUAAAAGUCGUAACAAGGUUUCCGUAGGUGAACCUGCGGAAGGAUCAUUAACAAAUUGUCCUCUCAUGGAUAAUUUUAUCCAUAUCCACCUUGUGUGAACCAGUGAAAAGUUUAUUGGCAGGAGAGUGAGGCUUUUGUUAUUCUCGUUCAUGUGACGGGAUAACAUGGUUUUCAGCCUGCCAAUUUUUAUGUCUCUACUUGUCUAAUGAGUAUUUUGACUGAAACUGUUAAUAUUAUAACAAAUACAACUUUCAACAACGGAUCUCUUGGCUCUCGCAUCGAUGAAGAACGCAGC
rnacentral:misc_RNA from 1 species